UACGAUGAAGAGUUUGAUCCUGGCUCAGGAUGAACGCUAGCGGCAGGCCUAACACAUGCAAGUCGAGGGGUAGAAAUAGCUUGCUAUUUUGAGACCGGCGCACGGGUGCGUAACGCGUAUGCAAUCUGCCUUGUACUGGGGGAUAGCCCGGAGAAAUCCGGAUUAAUACCCCAUAGUAUAUAAGAGUGGCAUCACUUUUAUAUUAAAGAAUUUCGGUACAAGAUGAGCAUGCGUCCCAUUAGCUAGUUGGUAUGGUAACGGCAUACCAAGGCUUUGAUGGGUAGGGGUCCUGAGAGGGAGGUCCCCCACACUGGUACUGAGACACGGACCAGACUCCUACGGGAGGCAGCAGUGAGGAAUAUUGGUCAAUGGACGCAAGUCUGAACCAGCCAUGCCGCGUGCAGGAUGACGGUCCUAUGGAUUGUAAACUGCUUUUGUACGGGAAGAAACUACUCUACGUGUAGAGUCCUGACGGUACCGUAAGAAUAAGGAUCGGCUAACUCCGUGCCAGCAGCCGCGGUAAUACGGAGGAUCCAAGCGUUAUCCGGAAUCAUUGGGUUUAAAGGGUCCGUAGGCGGUUUUAUAAGUCAGUGGUGAAAUCCGGCAGCUCAACUGUCGAACUGCCAUUGAUACUGUAGAACUUGAAUUAUUGUGAAGUAACUAGAAUAUGUAGUGUAGCGGUGAAAUGCUUAGAUAUUACAUGGAAUACCAAUUGCGAAGGCAGGUUACUAACAAUACAUUGACGCUGAUGGACGAAAGCGUGGGGAGCGAACAGGAUUAGAUACCCUGGUAGUCCACGCCGUAAACGAUGGAUACUAGCUGUUCGG
rnacentral:rRNA from 1 species